UAAAAUAUAAAUUUCAAAUUUGAAAUCAGUCCCUAUUUUUUCCUAUAUAUAUAGUUGUCACUUCUCUUUAGUUUCGUAUACUUGAUAAUUUGAAACAACAGCCUCCAAGUAUAGUUUCAUUUCUUCUAGUAUCCUUGCUCAUCCACAAUUGUGUAGUAGCGACAGCAAGGUCCAUCCAACAAUAUGAUAAUUCCUACAACAAAUUGUUUUCUCAAUUUAAGGUUGCUAGAGAGCUAAGAGGUUUCAAAGGUAAAAAGACAACAAUAGUGUCGCCACCAAAGGCUAGUAAGGGAUCUCGUAUGCAUCUCCCUCCUAUGGCGCCGCUGCCACGACCAUCACCACCACCACCUCCACCACCUCUAUCAACAAACUGACAGAAGCAAACUUAGAAUUUUGAGUUUAUAGGUUCUAAAUUCUAGAAAAUUUAGAUUAUUGAAUUCUAGACGAUAUUGUGUUUUCCCUCCCACAUUUUCUUUUUUUUUGGUGAUUGGUUAGAUUUGGUUUUGGAAUAAAUAAAGGAUUGAAAAUAUGUGAAUCGUUUAUUUUAAAAUAUCAUUGAUUCAAGCUAAA
rnacentral:lncRNA from 1 species